rnacentral:rRNA from 12 species
CCUCCAAGCCUAAGUACUCGUGCAUGACCGAUAGUGAACAAGUACCGUGAGGGAAAGGUGAAAAGAACCCUAAGUAAGGGAGUGAAAGAGAUCCUGAAACCGUACGCCUACAAGCGGUCGGAGCACAUUUAUGUGUGACGGCGUGCCUUUUGCAUAAUGAGCCUACGAGUUACUGUUUCUAGCAAGGUUAAUUGAUUAAGUCAAGGAGCCGUAGCGAAAGCGAGUCUGAAUAGGGCGCUUUAGUU